AGUGAACGCUGGCGGCGUGCCUAAUACAUGCAAGUCGAACGAUGAAGUCCUAGCUUGCUAGGAUGGAUUAGUGGCGCACGGGUGAGUAAUAUAUAGUUAACCUGCCCUACACAGAGGAACAACAGUUGGAAACGACUGCUAAUACCUCAUACUCCUAUUUGACAUAAGUUAAAUAGGGAAAGUCUUUUCGGUGUAGGAUGAGACUAUAUCGUAUCAGCUAGUUGGUAAGGUAAUGGCUUACCAAGGCUAUGACGCGUAACUGGUCUGAGAGGAUGAUCAGUCACAUUGGAACUGAGACACGGUCCAAACUCCUACGGGAGGCAGCAGUAAGGAAUAUUGCGCAAUGGGGGAAACCCUGACGCAGCAACGCCGCGUGGAGGAUGACACUUUUCGGAGCGUAAACUCCUUUUAUCAGGAAAGAAUAAUGACGGUACCUGAUGAAUAAGCACCGGCUAACUCCGUGCCAGCAGCCGCGGUAAAAGGG
rnacentral:rRNA from 1 species